rnacentral:tRNA from 1 species
GGGGAUGACGGGUUUUGACAUUAUAAAUACAAAAUUUUAAUUUUUAAAAAAAAGACAUGAAAUUAAAUAAUUUAGUAAAUUCAACAAGAAUAUACAAUAUUAAAUAAUUAUAAUUUAAAAAAUACAAAAUAUUAACUAAUAAAUCAUGUAAUAUAAAUAUAUAAAAUUAUAAUGAAUGUGAGUUCAACUCUCACCAUCUCCACCA